AAAACUUAUUUUGCAUCUCCUGUCACAUGGUGAGGCCAAAAACAAUAUCCACAUCUAUGUAACAAACAAAAAACUGAUCAAAUAGAACAAAAGGGAACCAAUCACCAAACCAGAACCGCUUUUCCUUCAAAAAUGGUGAAGAACCACACAAAGAUCCAUCUGAAAUGGAAGUGCAUAAACAAUAAGCAAGGGGAAAGCCCAGGAAGAAGACAAUGACAGUAGAAAAAUAUUAUACUCCCUCUACAAUGCUUCACGUCCAACAACCAGACCAAGAUAGCCCCACCUUAAGCUCCGACUUUGGUAGAAUCAAAACUUAUUUUGUAUCUCCUGUCAAAGGGUGGGACCAAAAACAAUAUACACAUGUACGUAACAAACAAAAAAUAGAUUAAACAGAGCAAAAGGGAACCAAGCACCAAACCAGAACCGCCUUCCCACGAGAACUGGUUAAUUAGAACCCAAAGAUCAAACAUUUGAAGAUUAAAGAGCAUAACAAUAAGCAAAGGGAAAAAGUUCACCUAGAAGAUAAAUCACAAUAGAAAAAUAAUAUACUCCUGUUGACACCCACCAUAAACACUAUACCAAUGGCAGCAUCCAAGAUUGGUCCAUAUCCAAAUAACCAGACCAAGAUAGCCUCACCUUAAAUACCUAACUUUGAUGGAAUCAAAACCAAUUUUGUAUCUCCUGACACAGGGUGAGGCAGAAAACAAGGUCCAAGUCUACGUAACAAAAUAAAACUAUAAUAGAGAGCAAAGAUAACCAAGGAUCAAACCAGAACAGUCUUCCACAGAAGCCUGAUUAAGAAACACACAACGAUCCGGCAUCUGGAAAUUGAAAAGAAUAACGAUAAGCAAGGGAAAGUUUAGGUAGAAUAUAAAAUUUAGUAAAAAAGUUACAAUACUAUACUCCCUAUGCAACCCUUGAUAAACACUAUAUCAAUGACAGCGUCAAAGGUUGCUCCGUGUCCAACAAUCAGACCAAGAUUGCACCACCAUAAGCUCCUACUUUGAUAGAAUCAAAACUUAAUUUAUAUUUUGUGUCAUAGGGUGAUGCAGAAAACAAUAUCCACGCCAACGUAACAAACAAAAAACUGAUGAAAGAGAAAAAAGAUAACAAAGCAUCAAACCGAACAGCCUUCCAAUUAAGAACCACAACGAUCAGAAAUCUGAAAAUUGAAGAGUAUAACGACAAGCACCGGAAACUCUAGGUAGAAGAGAAAAUAUAGUAGAAGAAAAUGUAGUAUAACAAUCUGCAUCCCUCAAUAAACAUUAUAUCAAUUGACAUCUUAUAUUAGUCCGCAUCCAACAACCCCACCAAGUUGGCCCCCACCUUAAGCUCCCACUUUGAUAGAAUAAAACUGAAUUUGUAUCUCCUGUCACAGGGUGAGGGCGAAAAAAAUAUCAAAGUCUACGUAACAAAAAAAAAAAAACUAUAAUAGAGAACACAGACAACCAAGCGUCAAACAAGAACUGCCUUUCAGAGAAGCUUGAUUAAGAACAAAACAGCAACCAAAGAUUUGUCCAUGUCCAAAAACCAGACCAAGAUAGCCCCCACCUUAAGCUCCUACUUUGAUAGAAUCAAAACCUAUUUUGUAUCUCCUGUCACAGGGUGAGGCUGAAAACAACAUCCAAGUCUACAUAACAGCAAAAGAACUAUAAUUGAGAGAGCAAAGAUAACCAAUUAUCAAACCCGAACUGCCUUCCAGUUAAACUUGAUUAAGAACCACAUAAUGAACAGGCAUCUGGAAAUGGAAGAGAGACUAACAAUAACCACAGGAAAGUCUAGAUGGAAGAUAAAUUGUAGUAGAAAAAAAUACUAUAUUAUACUCCCUCUGCCAUCCUCGAUAAACACUAUAAUUGACAGCGUCAAAGGUUGAUCUGUGGCCAAUAUAACUAAACCAAGAUUAGCCCCACCUUGAGCUCCUACUUUGAUAAAAUCAAAACAAAAUUUUUAUCAUCUGCCAUAGGAUGAGGCAGAAAUACAAUAUACACGUAUACGUAACAAACAAAAAAACUGAUGAUAGAGAGAAAAGAUAAACCCAGCAUCAAACCAGAAGUGCCUUCAAGUAAAGAACACCUGGAAAUUGAAGAGUAUAACGAUAAGUAUAGGAAACUCAAGGUAAAAGAGAAAACGUAAAAAAAAAAAAAAUAACUAUACUGUACACCAUCUGCCACCCUCGACAAACACUAUAUCAAUGAUGGCAUCAUAGAUUAGUCCAUAUCCAAAAACCAGACCAAGAUAACCCCCACCUUAAGCUUCAACUUUGAUAGAAUCAAAACCUAUUUUGUCUCCUGGCACAGGGUGAGGACCAAAACAUUGUCCAAGUCUACAUAACAAAUAAACAAUAAUUACAGAGCAAAGGUGACCAAUUAGCAAACCAGAACAGCCUUCCCGUGAAGCUUGAUUAAAAACCACACAGCGAUCAGGCAUCUGGAAAUUGAUGAGAACAACGGUAAGCAUGGGAAAGUCUAGGUAGAAGAUAAAAGAUAGUAAAAAAAAAAAAAACUAUUCUAUACUCUCUUUGCCAGGCCCACACCACUAUAUCAAUGACAGCAUCAAAGGUAGAUCCGUGUUCAAUAACCAGGCCAACAUUAGCCACACCAUAAGCUCCUUCUUUCAAAACUUAAUUUUUAUCUCCUAUCAUAGGGUGAGGCAGAGAACAAUAUCCACGUCUACAUAACAACAAAAAAUUGUUGAAACUGACAAAAGAUAACCAAGAAAACAAGAAGUGCCAUCCAUUAUGGAAAUUGAAGAGUAUAACUAUAAACACGGGAAACUCUAGGUAGAAGAGAAAAUGUAGUAGAAAAAAAAAAUACUAUUAUGUAUUUCCUUUGCGACCCUCGAUUUACAAUAUACCAAUGAUAACAUCAAAGAUCUGUCCGCGUCCAAAAACCAGACCAAGAUAGCCCCCACAUUAAGCUCCUACAGUGAUGGAAUCAAAACCUAUUUUGUAUCUCCUGUCACAGGGUAGGCCCAAAACAAUAUCCAAGUCUAUAUAACAACAAAAGAAAUAUAAUAGAGAGAUCAAAUGCAACCAAUUAUGAACCCAGAACUGCCUUCCAGUUAAGCUUGAUUAAGAACCACACAACGAUCAGGCAUCUGGAAAUUGAAGAGAAUAACAAUAAGCACGGGAAAGUCAAGAUGGAAGAUAAAUUGUAGCAGAAUUAAUACAAUACUAUACUCCCUCUGACACCCUCGAUAAACAUUAUAUCAGUGACAGCAUCAAAAGUUGAUAUGUCUCCAAUAACUAGACCAAGAUUAGCCCCACCAUAAGCUGCUUCUUUCACAACUUAAUUUUUAACCCCUGUCACAAGGUGAGGCAGAAAACAAUAUCCACGUCUACGUAACAAAUAAAAGAUUGUUGAAACUGACAAAAGAUAACCAAGCAUACCAGAAGUGCCUUCCAGUUAAGAACCACACAACAAUCAGACAUCUGGAAAUUGAAGAGUAUAACUAUUAGCACGGGAAACUCUAGGUAGAAGAGAAAAUGUAGUAGAAAAAAAAUACUAUUAUGUACUCCAUGUACUCCCUUUACCACCCACAUUAAACUAUAUCAAUGACAGCAUGAAGGAUUUGUCAGUGUACCAAAAACCAGACCAAGACACGCCCCCACCUUAAGCUCCUACUUUGAUAGAAUCAGAACCUAUUUUGUAUCUCCUAUCACAGGGUGAGGCUGAAACCAACAUCGAGUCUAAAUAACAACAAAAGAACUACAAUAGAGAGAGCAAAGGUAACCAACUAUCAAACCCGAACUGCCGUCCAGUAAGCUUGAUUAAGAACCACACAACGAUCGGGCAUCUGGAAAUGGAAGAGAAUAACGAUAAGCACCGGAAGGUCUAGAUGGAAGAUAAAUUGUAUUAGAAGAAAUACUAUACUAACUCCCUCUGCCACCCUCGAAAAACAUAUCAUGACCAUCAAAGGAUUGAUUGUGUGCAAUAACUGACUAAGAUUAGCCCUACCUUAAGCCCUACUUUGAUAAAAUUAAAACUUAAUUUUUAUCUCAUGUCAUAGGGUGGGGCAGAAAACAAUAUCACGUCUAUGUACAAACAAAAAUUGUUGAAAUGACAAAAGAUAACCAAACAUCAAACCAGAAGUGUCAUCCAGUUAAGAACCACCCCACGAUCAGACAUCUGGAAAUUGAAGAGUAUAUCUAUAAGCACGGGAAACUCUAGGUAGAAGAGAAAAUGUAUAGAAAUAAAAAUACUAUUAUGUACUCCCUUUGCCACCCUCGAUUAACACAAUAUCAAUGACUCAUCAAAGAUCUGUCCGCGUCCAAAAACCAGACCAAGAUAGCCCCCACAUUAAGCUCCUACAGUGAUGGAAUCAAAACCUAUUUUGUAUCUCCUGUCACAGGGUAGGCCCAAAACAAUAUCCAAGUCUAUAUAACAACAAAAGAAUAUAAUAGAGAGAUCAAAUGCAACCAAUUAUGAACCCAGAACUGCCUUCCAGUUAAGCUUGAUUAAGAACCAAACAACGAUCAGGCAUCUGGAAAUCGAAGAGAAUAACAAUAAGCACGGGAAAGUCAAGAUGGAAGAUAAAUUGUAGCAGAAUUAAUACAAUACUAUACUCCCUCUGACACCCUCGAUAAACAUUAUAUCAGUGACAGCAUCAAAAGUUGAUGUCUCCAGUAACUAGACCAAGAUUAGCCCCACCAUAAGCUGCUUCUUUCACAACUUAAUUUUUAACUCCUGUCACAAGGUGAGGCAGAAAACAAUAUCCACGUCUACGUAACAAAUAAAAGAUUGUUGAAACUGACAAAAGAUAACCAAGCAUACCAGAAGUGCCUUCCAGUUAAGAACCACACAACAAUCAGACAUCUGGAAAUUGAAGAGUAUAACUAUUAGCACGGGAAACUCUAGGUAGAAGAGAAAAUGUAGGUAGAAAAAAAAUACUAUUAGUACUCCCUUUACCACCCACUAUUAACACUAUAUCAAUGACAGCAUGAAGGAUUUGUCAGUGUCCAAAAACCAGACCAAGACAGCCCCCACCUUAAGCUCCUACUUGAUAGAAUCAGAACCUAUUUUGUAUCUCCUAUCACAGGGUGAGGCUGAAACCAACAUCCGAGUCUAAAUAACAACAAAAGAACUACAAUAGAGAGAGCAAAGGUAACCAACUAUCAAACCCGAACUGCCGUCCAGUUAAGCUUGAUUAAGAACCACACAACGAUCGGGCAUCUGGAAAUGAAGAGAAUAACGAUAAGCACCGGAAGGUCUAGAUGGAAGAUAAAUUGUAUAGAAGAAAUACUAUACUAUACUCCCUCUGCCACCCUCGAUAAACACACUAUAUAGUGACCACGUCAAAGGAUUGACUUGUGUGCAAUAACUUGACUAAGAUUAGCCCUACCUUAAGCUCCUACUUGAUAAAAUUAAAACUUAAUUUUUAUCUCAUGUCAUAGGGUGGGGCAGAAAACAAUAUCCACGUCUAUGUAGCAAACAAAAUUGUUGAACUGACAAAAGAUAACCAAACAUCAAACAGAAGUGUCUCCAGUUAAGAACCACCCCACGAUCAGACAUCUGGAAAUUGAAGAGUAUAUCUAUAAGCACGGGAAACUCGAGGUAGAAGAGAAAAUGUAGUAGAAUAAAAAUACUAUUAUGUACUCCCUUUGCCACCCUCGAUUAACACAAUAUCAAUGACUACAUCAAAGAUCUGUCGCGUCCAAAAACCAGACCAAGAUAGCCCCCACAUUAAGCUCCUACAGUGAUGGAAUCAAAACCUAUUUUGUAUCUCCUGUCACAGGGUAGGCUCAAAACAAUAUCCAAGUCUAUAUAACAACAAAAGAAAUAUAAUAGAGAGAUCAAAUGCAACCAAUUAUGAACCCAGAACUGCCUUCCAGUUAAGCUUGAUUAAGAACCAAACAACGAUCAGGCAUCUGGAAAUCGAAGAGAAUAACAAUAAGCACGGGAAAGUCAAGAUGGAAGAUAAAUUGUAGCAGAAUUAAUACAAUACUAUACUCCCUCUGACACCCUCGAUAAACAUUAUAUCAGUGACAGCAUCAAAAGUUGAUAGUCUCCAUAACUAGACCAAGAUUAGCCCCACCAUAAGUGCUUCUUUCACAACUUAAUUUUUAACCCCUGUCACAAGGUGAGGCAGAAAACAAUAUCCACGUCUACGUAACAAAUAAAAGAUUGUUGAAACUGACAAAAGAUAACCAAGCAUACCAGAAGUGCCUUCCAGUUAAGAACCACACAACAUCAGACAUCUGGAAAUUGAAGAGUAUAUCUAUAGCACGGGAAAUUCUAGGUAGAAGAGAAAAUGUAGUAGAAAAAAAAUACUAUUAUGUACUCCCUUUCCACCCCGAUUAAACAUAUCAAUGACCAUAAGAUUGUCGGUCCAAAAACCAGACCAAGACAGCCCCCACCUUAAGCUCCUACUUUGAUAGAAUCAGAACCUAUUUUGUAUCUCCUAUCACAGGGUGAGGCUGAAACCAACAUCGAGUCUAAAUAACAACAAAAGAACUACAAUAGAGAAAGCAAAGGUAACCAACUAUCAAACCCGAACUGCCGUCCAGUUAAGCUUGAUUAAGAACCACACAACGAUCGGGCAUCUGGAAAUGGAAGAGAAUAACGAUAAGCACCGGAAGGUCUAGAUGGAAGAUAAAUUGUAUUAGAAGAAAUACUAUCUAUACUCCCUCUGCCACCCUCGAUAAACACACUAUAUCAGUGACCACGUCAAAGGAUUGACUUGUGUGCAAUAACUUGACUAAGAUUAGCCCUACUUAAGCUCCUACUUUGAUAAAAUUAAAACUUAAUUUUUAUCUCAUGUCAUAGGGUGGGGCAGAAAACAAUAUCCACGUCUAUGUACAAACAAAAUUGUUGAAAUGACAAAAGAUAACCAAACAUCAAACCAGAAGUGUCUCCAGUUAAGAACCACCCAGAUCAGACAUACUGGAAAUUGAAGGUAUAUCUAUAAGACACGGAAAUUGGUAGAAGAGAAAAUUAAGUAGAAUAAAAACUAUUAUGUACUCCCUUUGCCACCCUCGAUUAACACAAUAUCAAUGACUCAUCAAAGAUCUGUCCGCGUACCAAAAACCAGACCAAGAU
rnacentral:lncRNA from 1 species